UGGCCAGAUACCCGUAUCACACACUGAUGGAGAUACAUUAAGCAUCGGUCUAGUGGCCAGGUACCCGUAUCACACACUGAUGGAGAUACAUUAAGCAUUGGUCUAGUGGCCAGGUAUUUGUAUCACACACUGAUGGAGAUACAUUAAGCAUCGGUCUAGUGGCCAGGUACUCGUAUCACACACUGAUGGAGAUACAUUAAGCAUUGGUCUAGUGGCCAGGUACUUGUAUCACACAAUGACGGAGAUACAUUAAGCAUCGGUCUAGUGGCCAGGUACUCGUAUCACACACUGAUGGAGAUACAUUAAGCAUCGGUCGAGUGGCCAGGUACCCGUAUCACACACUGAUGGAGAUACAUUAAGAUCGGU